CACGUAGGGCGCAAGCGUUGUCCGGAAUUACUGGGCGUAAAGAGCUCGUAGGCGGCUUGUUGCGUCGACCGUGAAAACCCGUGGCUUAACUGCGGGCUUGCGGUCGAUACGGGCGGGCUGGAGUUCGGUAGGGGAGACUGGAAUUCCUGGUGUAGCGGUGAAAUGCGCAGAUAUCAGGAGGAACACCGGUGGCGAAGGCGGGUCUCUGGGCCGAUACUGACGCUGAGGAGCGAAAGCGUGGGGAGCGAACAGG
rnacentral:rRNA from 1 species